AGAGUCUCGUGCCAGCACAUACCCAGACUGUGCGAUCCCAUUCCUCGUUGGAAUGAGCACGGAAAACAACUAAGGUUCCAGAGAUGGCUUCAUCUUCUUGAUUAAUAUUUUGCCAUAUUUUAUGAAUUCCCAAUUUUUUUUCAGACUUCAUAUAAUUGGCAUUUAAAUGAGACUCCAGAGUUGAAACUCAUCCUCCUUGGACUGAACUGACCUCUGGAGGUUUUCCACAGCUUUGGACAAGUCACUCAGAGGACUCCAGUGGUCAUGAUUAAAUGUUGACAGAUGUGGGAAUAAUGUCAGGGCUUAGCAUUUUCAGGAAAUGCGAGGCUAUUUUCUAACAGGCUGCACCUUGUACAGUAGAGCCCUGGCAGUGUCACCAGCACACGUAGCUCAAAGCCAGCAGCAUCACUGCCACCAGCAAGGACCUAAAUGAAACUGUAUAAUAGUUGUCUUCUUGAACUGUAUUUCACAUGCCAUUUCCUCCAGUUUUAUCCACCUACCUAUGGGAUUCCCUUGGGUUGCUGAAUGAUAGUUCACAUGUAUACACAUAUCACAUUUUGUUUAUCAGUCCCGGAAAUGAUUCUUAACUAUGACAUGAAAGCCAUAGCAACAGAAGGAGAAGAAAGUGGAGCAACACCAGAGCAAAAUCCCCUGUGCUGUGAUCAAUCAAGCAAAAGUUCCUGUCUUGAAGGGUUAAAAAGUCAUCCUGGGUGCAAGUAUAAAUUCUAUGAGCCCUAGAUGGAAAAGAAGCCACUGUGAACUGUCUCCUGAGGAAGGGGGCAACAAGGCUUAAUUUGUUGCAUCUGACACUUGACAGUUGUAAGCACUAACAUCCAGGUUCAUCUUGGAAGUUCUCCAAACUAACACACCUUAAGUGAGCGUUUCUUACAACUUGGAAUAAAUCCUUAUUUGUUGUC
rnacentral:lncRNA from 1 species